AGACGGCGAGAUGGAGCCGGUGGAAGGAUGCGACUCCCCUUCCUUCUUCUUCUUCUUCUUCCUCCUCUUCCUCGCCCGGAGCGGCGUCUUCUCUCCGGAGCCCGCCGGCCGGGGCGUCCCUUCCCCGACCGCUUCAGGUGCCCGACAGCCUCGGAGAUCCGGUCUCCGGUUUGGACGCCUUCCAAGGACAUGAUGACGACUGUAGAUCUCUCUCGCUCUCUCUUUAUAUAUAUAUAUAAUUAUAUAUAUAUAAUUUCCUAAUUUUUUUUCCCCACGGUUUUGUUUUUGGUUUUUUUUUUGCUUUGCUUUGGGUACCAAAAAGGAUCGGAGCGGCCGUAGCUUCAAGAAUGGAUCAACUCAUUUUUUUUCUCCUUCCAACUCAUGGUGUCAUCCUGAACAAAGCAUUGUCGACUCAUACUGAGGAAAAAGAUUUUGCCCAGGAAAUAGCUACAUUGUGGUUUCUUAGGCAACUACCUACAAAAUCAUUUUCAAAAGACAGAAGGCUGUUAUAGAAGGCAACACAUUGUACAGAAUUACUUCGUUGUUCUUCACAUUUGUUUUGCUUCCAGUCAAAAACAUAUUCAUUUUUGGCACUUAAAACUCCCUUUAAAACUUUGGGAUUGGUUGAUCAUUGGCUGAAAAGUUAACCGGAAUCUCAGUGAAAUCAUCCAAACUGAGUGAUCCUGCAGAAACAAGAAUACCUCCUAAAUCACCUUAAUUCCUCCCCAAACUUCAUUGGUGCGCAAUCCUGAGGCAAAAAUGACCUAUAAUUUAAAACUAUUCCAACUGGGCAUUUCUUUAACCUGGCUUGUUGAUUUUCUCCCAUAACAGUGCCAUCAGUAGGACAUUCAUUCUAGAAUUCUGUCACUUUUGCAAUUCAGAAGACCAUGCUAAAACAUUUGGCUACAACUUGGGUCUACUGUUUCUUUUCUGCAAAUGGUUACAUAUAUUAUUUAUGUACUAAAUCUUUUAAGUCAGCUCAUCAGUUAUUUUUUCUCAAUCUUUUCUAAACUGAAUGGAUGGGUUCUAAGACUUAAAAAGGCAUUGUUGUGGUUCAGAAGUGCAUGUCACUAUGUAAUACAGCUUACCCUGGAGAUGAUAUAUCCAGCUGUGUUGUUACCUUUAUAUAAAACAAGAUAUGGCAGUCCGGUGGAAUAAGUAUCCUGUUUGUAGUUUGAACAAGAGAUGUCACCAUUUGGAGUAUGAAGAAGCAGAGCUUUUAACUUGGAAGAUAGCUGCCAGUUUUGGUCAUCUUGUAAACAAACUCACACUGAUUCAAGAGUCUUCCAGUAGCAGACGAAAGAAAGCUGCAGCGUUCCUGACUGCACAUGGAUUAGAUGCUUGGGAUGAUUUUAGCCACUACCUUGUUGAGGACUAUGUGAGAUUUCGGUAGUUUGGUCCCAGUGGUGUAACUCUUCUCAGGAGGAUGUCUUGAACCAAAAGAUGAUGAAUACAAAGAUGAGGUGGCAAGAGAAGAAAUGAAAAAGAAAACAAUAUUUCAAGAUAAGAGAUGGAGGGAAAGGCAGCAUCUAAAGGAUUUAUCCUCCCCUCCCUCACAUAACAACUAGUGCUGUAGCCUGCACUAUUAUUAGACGGAUGUCACAUUUAGAUCCUUUAAAGCUUAAAGCCUUUUAGCCUUGGUCAAGAAUGAACCUUUUGAUUACAGAAUGCAGAGCAGAAAAUCUUCCGUAUUACUAUUCAGCCACUGAUGACAUCCCCUGACCCUAAAUCUCAGACUUACAUCCUGGAGAGAGUUGGUGCCAGUUCCGUGCUGUUGCAAAGGGAGCCAUGUGGAGAAGUCAUCGGGAGUUGAGCACCACCAAAAAGAGCUUUACCUUUUUUAUACUAGUGGGUCAUGUGGACUUGCCCUUGAGGCUCCUCUCAGCGUAUGCUCUGGUUUCAAAUUGAUCUGUUCAUCAUUCGCUGAGGAAAUACCUUCAUCUUCAACUCUGAACCAGUUGGCCUCUACAACAAGAGCAGGAAACUUGUGUUUACAAGUGGGAAGACGACCUCAUUUGCAUUUUUGGAGGGUCAUCUGGAGGAGAAACUUGAGAGAAAGAAGCAUCAGCAAACUCCAUGGUGCCUCCUGGACUGGGUUGAGCUCCUGUUCUUUGCCUCAACUCCUGCCCACCUAGCAGUUCGAAAGCAUGCAAAUGCGAGUAGAUAAAUAGGUAACCACUUUGGUGGAAGACAACAGCGUUCUGUGCGCCUGUGGCCUAUAGCCCAUGCUUGGCCACAUGACCACUGAAAUUGUCUUCAGACAGUGCUGGCUCAUUGGCCCUUGAAACAGAGGAACAAGCCCAUCACCAAGAGCAAUGACUUAAUAGAAUAACAGAGCUGGGAGGGACCUUGGAGGUCUUCUAGUCCAACCCCCCUGGCCAGGCAGGAGAGCCUAUAUCGUUUCAUGGAUUUCUUGGAUGCUGCUGAGGAGGGAAGAAAAGGACACACUGGAAUAAUAUCUCCAGCUAAAUUCCUCCGCUUUCACACAAGUGUCAUUCAGCAAAACAGGAACCACACACUCUGCAAUGUGUGUGACUGGCCACGGGUACAGCAGGGGCCAAUUUACGUUACUCACUUCACUGAGGUGUCCCUUACCGAAGCCAUGCAGCAGAAAAGGUUCAGCUGCACACUAUUGCACAUUGGUAAGGCUGCUGAGGGUGUUGACGGAAGACGGAGCAAGCAGCGUAUUGCGGAAUGAGGCAACCCAGCCUUUUCUAAUUGGUUGCUUUUCAGAUGGGUAAAUGAAGACUCAAUCAUCCAGGCCCAAAGUAUCUAAAAGGGAGGGAGGGAGAGACAGA